CGAACACCUAUAAAUCUAGGUGUUCUACAGCGGACGGUAUCGUAUUGAGGGAAAGAUCACUGAUUUAUGUAAUUGCGAAUUUGAGUAAUACAGUUUUACUUAAUUACGUUUGGUUUUCCUGCCUGAGAGCCUGCCUCUCUGAUGAGUGGGGACGCGGUCAUGAUUCGCACAGAGCUGCCGUUUCUUGCCACCCGGUCCCUCUCUGGAGCGUGAGUUUGGGUGUAUUAGUGCUGCCUUUGUGGCCCGCUGAGUGUGACAGGUGCAAUGGGCUGAGAAGUGAGGAGGUGCGCGGGUUGCAAGGGUUCUUCACGCAGAAAACUCCAGCACGUGGCUCUCAGGGAAACAAAAACACAACCGGAUCAAAGCGGGCCCGCUGACCAGCGUGCUGACAGAACAACCUCAGGCAGAGAUUCCCAUGAAGAGGGGCGCAGUGAGAGCUCUCCCCUACACCCUGCUUCACACGCAGGGUUUAACUGAGAUCAGCUGGGCCCGAAUGACAUCGCCACUGGCUCCAGCUGUAAAAAGAGGAUCGCAGAGGAAAACAAAAACUUCAAAGAGGAAGCUGGGCUGUCUCCAGAGAAUUGGUCUAGUACAAAGCCUUGUCCUCCAGGAUGGCUCAGAGGCAGAAGCCUAAUAAAAGAGAGGAGGUCUGCUUGAGAUUUCCAGGAAGAGGAGACAGACACCUCUGAAACCCUCAAAACACUCACCACCCACAUGCUUUGUUACUUGGAGAAUUCUCAGAGCACAGACCGGGAGGUGCUGAAGUUACCUGCUUCCAUCUGUGGCCUGAACUGGACUAUAAACUCCUUGAGGACAGAGGCCACACCUUAUUCAUCUUGCAUUUGGAUAUUUAGCCCAAUCUGGCCCUUAGUGACCCUUCAGUAAAUAUUUAAUGAAUGGUUGAGGCUGACGUUUUGUUAAGGAAGACUGGAAUGAAGAUUCCCUUCCUGCUGGUACAUAAAUGGGUGCGUGUAUAUAUGCAUGCAUAUGCUCACGAUAGGCUGCACCCUGUUCUAGGCAUAUUGCGUGCAUUAUCUUUGAGGCAGAGAACGCGAUUAUUACUGCUAUGAGGAGGGAUAGAUGGAGGCUUGGAGGUUAAGAGUUGUCUGUGGAUUUGCUGUGAGCUACGUGGGCCCCGCUUGAAAGCUUGCUCUUAAAAACUGUUGAACCGUCUCCUA